rnacentral:lncRNA from 1 species
AUGCCGGGGCCUCUCUCUGUGCCCCUGGCACGCCUCUGUGCAGGCCGGGCCUGCACCACCCCCCGCGCCCGUCCCCCAGGCAGGGUCCGUGUGGCUGCAGACACCCAGAGAGGGGAGGCUGGGGAGGCUGGGGAGCCGUGGCAGCCCGAUGCAGUGCGGGUCUCCAGGUGGAGGGGCCCUGGUCCCCUGGCGCCAGCGUGGCCCUUCCUCCUUGUGGAAACCCUUGUGGUGUGUGUGCUCUCUCGCCCUGACCCAGGAGAGCAGCAUGGCGGACCCCUGAUCUUGUGGCGUGCCACCGCGCGAGGCCGAGGAGCUCCCGCAGCCCAGUGGGCGUGGCGUCCUUGUCGCGGCUCUGUGGAGACCUGGCGAUGGAGAGCAGCAUGGCGGACCCCUGAUCUUGUGGUGCCGCGCGAGGCCGAGGAGCUCCCGCCGCCCAGUGGGCGUGGCGUCCUUGUCGCGGCUCUGUGGAGACCUGGCGAUGGUGAGCGGCCCCUGUCCUCAGUGGUGGAGAACUCGCCCUUGGGGCGCUCGUCUGUCCGGAGCCCCGGGCCAGCCCCGCUUCUCGCGGGCUUUGGCCCCGGCAGGCCAGCUCCGGGGGCGUGAGGGGGAGCGUCCGUCCUGCCCAGUGGCUCGUCUGUCUGGGCACGCCCCCAAACGCUGCCGUGAUGGAGCGGGUGGGAUGUCCAGGUGCGGAGGCCGUGAAUUUGCCUUGCGGCGGCGGAGCCCGUGCUCGGAUCGAUGAUGACUCCCUCUAAAGCAUUCCUUGGAAAUCUGAACAAAAUGAGUGAGAACUCACUACCGUCUCCUCAUCGAAACUGAGGUCCGGCACGUGGCGGCCACCGGGGGCUCGGGGGUAGAUGGGCCCUUGGCCUUGGGGCCUCUGGUGUCAGCAGCCACUCGGGUGAGGUCUGGGGAAGGCGGCCG